GGGCCUAUGGUCUAGUGGCACGAUGUGGCAUUCGCAUUGCCAAGACGGGAGUUCGAUUCUCCCUAGGUCCA
rnacentral:tRNA from 1 species